rnacentral:rRNA from 1 species
UGAACAACGAACCCUUAAUAGCGGCUGCACCAUUAGGAUGUCCUGAUCCAACAUCGAGGUCCGUAAACCCUUUCGUCGAUAUGGACUCUGGGAAAGGAUUGCGCUGUUAUCCCUAGGGUAACUUGGUUCGUUGAUCAGGCUUGUAUGCUGGUCAUUGUUCGUCAGGUG